rnacentral:rRNA from 1 species
GACGAACGCUGGCGGCGUGCUUAACACAUGCAAGUCGAAGAUAGUGGCGAAAGGGUGAGUAAUACGAGGGUAACCUGCCCUCCUUUUUGGGAUAAGCCUUGGAAACGGGGCCUAAUACCGAAUAAAGGGGGAUGGGCUCGCGGCCUUACAGCGUGUUAGUGGGGUGAUGGUCUACCAAGGCGGUGAAGGGUAGCCAUCUUGAGAGGGUGACCGGCUACUUUGGAGCUGGGAUCCGGCCCAGUCUCGUACGGGAGGCAGCAGUGGGGGAUAUUGCACAAUGGGCGAAAGUCUAAUGCAGCGACGCCGAGUGGGGUAUGAAGGCUUUCGUGUUGUAAACCUCUUUAGCUAUAGAACGGGUAGGUGGAGAAGAAGCGCCGGCUAACUACGUGCCAGCAGCCGCGGUAAUAC